rnacentral:piRNA from 1 species
UGCAAUUUGCUGCUACUUGAUUUUUUGUU